GAGAGAGGGGGAGACAGGCUCCCCGCCGAGCAGAGAGCCUGAUGCGGGGCUUGAUCCCAGGACCCUGAGAUUUUAGCGCUGUUUGUCAUAAGACUUUCACUUACUGAUUUUCAAGAAGGGAGGCCUGCACAGAGAGGACAAUAAAGACCACGGACAUGAACUCACCCAUGGAACUCAGCGUCAGGUGAUGAAGAGAGGCAGAGUGGAGAAGGAAAAGGUUCGAGGAACUGUAGCACCAUCUCCACCUCUAGAAAUUGACCCUGGAGAAACUACAGAAAUGGAGGGCACACAUGCCGAAGGCAGAGGCUUUAACCCACGGACCCAGGUGCCCCAAGCCCAUAUUGCUUUCUUAAUUACCCCAAUCUCGAUCCUCCUCUCUCCCCCCACCAAAAAACUCAGAAAAGCUUCAGCUACUUGGUAUGUUGCUCUUGUCCCCAGUCUUGUCAAUAUCAAUAAGAAUUCUAGUUUGGGGUAUUUAUUUAGUAACACUUGAGUUUUCUUAUUUGAGGUCUCUUUAAUUAAUUAAAAAAAUAUAUUUGUAUGUUUUUGGUCUCCUUCUGGGACUCCUGUUGUCUACACACUGGCACUUCCACCUCUGUUUUCUAUUUUCUGUCUUUUCUGUUUUCUAUCUCUUUAUUCUUUCCUGCUUCCUCUGGGGGAUAUUCCUAAUCAGAUCUUCUUACUAAUUCAUUUAAAAGCUGUGUCCACCUUACUAAUUAACUGUUAUUCAUUGCAAUUAUUGCAUGUAGUGUGAUUUAUUUCAGCCAUUGCAUUUAUUCAUAAACAGUAUUCCCCUGGGUUCUUUUGUAUUCUUUCUUGUUCCUUGCUGUAUUGUUAAUAAUCUUUCCUUAUGUCCUUCAAUAUAUGUUUUCAAGCUUAUUUGGAAUUUUUAAUCAGCAUUUCCUAAUCACACUGGUUUAUUGUAGACUUUGUUUAGUUUGUUGGCUCUCCUUGGGAAUGGUUCUAUUCUGGAGACGUUGAAUUGUCUUGGCCUAUGAGCCUCUGACUUUGGAGUAAUUGGUCUCUAAAGUUUCUUGGGGAGUGGCCAAAGACCAAGCCACGGCUUUCUGGAUCCUGGUGAAUUUAAGGACAAUGGGGGAGUGAGUCCCAGGGUAAAGACCAAGUCACCUUGGGGUAUCCUGGAUACUUUCCUGGGCUGCUACUCCACAGGAACACUUACACCUGGCCACUAAAGGAAAGUAUUGGGAUAAGACACUCCCCUCCCCACCCCACCCAAGUUAUAAUGCACCAGUCUAGCCGUGCUGGAGAGGAAACGAAGGGCAGGAAUGGAUGCCCAGGGUAGCAACUUAGUGCAAACUUACUUGUUUUCAUGAACCCCUUACUCCUUUAAGGUUCUUAUGCUGCUGUGAGAGUAUUCUGUGGACCCUGGGACCAGCAGUGAGGCCUGUGGCUGUAGGGGAGGUCCCAAGCCCUGAGAAGGUGAAGAGCAGAACACAAUAAAAGUCUGUCCUGUGCUCUAUUGCUGUGGCAUCCAGCCGUUGUCUAGACCCCUUCCUCUCCUCAAAGUGGUGUACUCAUUUGAGAAACCUAGAGUUUUUCGUUUUUAUUUCUUUUUUCCUUUUCCUUUUUUCCCCAUUAAAUGCUAAUUCCUAAAAUGCAUGUGUGCCCUCCAUUUCUGUAGUUUCUCCAGGGUCAAUUUCUGGAGGUGGAGCCAGCAGCCCUAACUACUUUGCCCUGUUGGCUGGUGCUACAGUUCCUCGAACCUUUUCCUCCUCCACUCUGCCUCACUUCAUCACCUGACGCUGAGUUCCAUGGAUCACCUCUGAAAGGCAGUGGCAUCGACAUAGAUGAGAUCUGGGAUUUGAAGGGUUUCAAUGGAUCUCCCCGUUUGGCACAAAAUCAAAUGAUGGAAAUGAAGGCUCAGUGAUCACGAUGCUGCGCUAGCUUCACAUUCAAGCGGAUGACUCUUGCUCAAUGAUUUCCAAAGCAAUGACCUCGGCACCCCCUUCGCCCAGGUUGUCGGCGGCUUCGUUCCUCGGCUCCUGGUGGCAGAUGUAAACCGGGAUGUCCCCGGCUUCGGCCGCGGCGGCGGCAGCGGCGGCGGCGGCGGCGGCAGCGGCAUUGGCCGCGGAGCGGCGGGGGUUCCUUCGCCCCCAGCGCUGAUCCCACUGGGUUUUAAACUGCGCCCAUUGGCGCUUCACGGUGGUUUGGACCUGAAAGAGAAAAGGGAACCUUGUUUUGGUAUAAUUGUCGGAAACGACCCAAGCCAAGCUUAUGGCCACAGUUCGUGGAGCUUAUCAGAGGCCAAAGGAGGCUGAGUUGUAAUUCUGAUCCGAAGGACCCUGCAGUACACACGCUCUGGUUGGGGAAUAUAUACCAUCUUGGGAGAAGAAUCUUUAAGUCAGAGAAACGAGUUGCUUGCCUAAGCUACCAGGGGCAAGGUCGUUUGCUCUUUUUGAGCAAAAGUCUCUUCUUUAGCUCUCCUGUCCAAUGAAUGAAAAUUGCCUUGGUUUUAUUAUAUCCAUUAUGGUAUAGGUGUCCUAUCAGAGGAAAAGAUUUUUGAAAAGUUUUUAUCUGCUACCACCUCUGAUAAUGCAGAAAUUUUUAUCUAAACCUAAACAUAUUACUGUUUACAUACAUAUACAUAUACAUAUACAUAUACAUAUGCAUGUACCACAGCACAGCCCGGGGUUUCAUUAUAAGGGCUUCAUACUGUGGAUUUUCCUUUCUCCAGCAUGGCUUGAGAUGGGACACCCCGGAUAAAACUCUGGUUAAUGUAGUACGAAGCUUUUAAGAAUAAAAUUUCAAUCUCUUCCUAUGAAAAAAAUUCUAAUAUGUAAACAAACUUACCAAACUUGCUUUACAAAUAUGAUAAACUGUAUAGUAGAGAAGGAAAAGAUGCUAAAGUCAGGAAGUUCUAAAUACAAAAACCGCAAUAACCACCGCGGAAAAGCAGUAAUGCUGCUUGUCUAGCUCUGCUUUCUUCAGAACUGAGUUCAGUUUAGUCUUUAAGUUCCUCUUCCCUGUCAUCUCCUAACUUCUGGCUUUUCUCUAUAGCUGAGCAAGACCAAAAGAGAGAUUAUUGCUGCAGUAUCUAUUUUACAUUUCUGAUUUUCUAUGGCUCAGUACAGGAGAUAUGCUUUUAUACAAAAUAUUUGCAUCGAUUUAUUAAUACAUCUUUCGUUAUCUUGCUACCAAACUUGACUGUAAGACCUAACCAUUCUGGGGGCACAGAAGGGGGAAUCCGGCAACAGUAUGACCUGAGAUAAAGCAUGUAACGAGUUAAUUGUGAAGAGCCAAAUUUGUCUGAAUCUAAAAGAAGAUAUAAAUGAUAGUACAACAUACUAAUGUUAUAAACCGAUAUGCAUGAUAGAAGGCUGAAUAAUUUCUGUGGCAAAUACAUUUUCUGUGUAUCAUAGCAGAACAGUCUUUCCAAAUAAUUAUUCGUAUUUGUCAUAUCCUUUUAAAUAUUUUACUCAGAAAAAGGCAAAACAGUCAAAUGAUUCAUCACAGACAAGAGGGUAUGAAACUUGUCACUGAGGAGAGGUUCUUCUUCAUAUCGCAGAGCAGCCAUCAAGUUCAAGAUGACAAAUGGUAGACGAAUUUGGUAAUCCAAUCAUUCGGAAUUACUGUGGCAACAAACUGUUUUUGUGUUUUUAGUUUUUUGGAGGUGAUGAGUGUGUGAGUGUACUCUCUAAUGUGCAUCUAUCUAAUUUUAUUUAAAAGAGACAAACACCAAAACUUUAAGUGCCAUGGUCAAGCUGUGCACCUUGUAUCCGAACCUUGUGUUGACAAAAGACGUACUGAGGGUCAUGGACAGCAUGAAAACUUGGAGCUGUCGCUGUUAUUUUCUGAGGGCUUACCACAUGCCAUUUUCCAGGCUCUUGUUUAGCAUGAACUUAUUUAAUCCUGCUGAUUUAAUGGCUUUUGUUCCCUUCACUUUCCAUAUGGGGGCUGAGGUUAUGUAACGUGUCCAGGGUCAGAACCGCUGGAAUGUGGUGGAACCACCACACCAGGGGAAGCUCGUGGCUCCUGACCAUGUGCUUGGCCACAGUACACACUGUAGAUAGCUGAUCCUCAAGUUCUGAACUGAACUGAAAAUAGAAUUUGUUUCUUGUGGUCAUUGCUUAGGCAGGAUGAGAGCACUAAGUGUUGACACAUCGACUCCAAAGACUGUGCUCUUUGGGUUUGGGUCCCAGCUUAUUGCCUGCAUAGGCUUUUUUGUCUUUUGGUUUUUUGUUUUUUUCUUUCUUAGAUUUUUCUCCUUUGUAAAAAGGAGAUCAGGACAUGAAUUCAGUUAUGAGUAAGAUUUACUGAGGUUAUUUGAAUCACCUCAUACGAUGUUGGUGCGUAGCAGCAGUAAUUUCCUACUUUUUCUCCCAUUCUCACCCCUUGCUAACCCCACCUCCCACCACCUCCAAGGUUCUGCCAGUCAAUGUGGCUGGAUUUGAGAGUCAGGUAUCUCCCUUUUGAUAGUCUGACACCUUCAGGCUCCUCUCCAGCCUAGUUCUUUAUUAGGGCUAUUUACUGGUUGAAAAUUAAUUCAUAUAAGUGUUUUGCUUCCUUUGCUUUCCUAAGCACAUUAGUGCAAGAGGUACAGAUGGAAGGUGUAACACAGCUGGAAGGGACAAGAUGGAUUGGAGGAAUAGAAGAGGCAGAGAUGAGGAAGAAUGAAACAGUAAAGAAGAAAAGCAAUUAGGACAGUUUAUCUGCAUUUAGUGCCGAAUAACUGAGCAUUGACUAGUUUGUUCCCCCUCUGUGACAUUUCUGUCUAGAGGUCAAGACACAAAGAGAAGAUAAAGUCUGAAGGAUUGGGUCCAUUUACUCUCUCUAAUUGAAACAAUGUGCUCUUGCUCACAGCGGCUUCCUGCACUCGGCUGCUGCCAUUCAAAACAGCAGUAAGGGGGACAUACUCCGAAUGGGCUGAACUGGACUGGGGUUACUCUCUUCAGAAGGAAUUCAGUCCAUACCCAGAGUGACCUGAAAUCUUGGUUUGAUGGUUUUGUCCUUUAGCUAUUUACCCCAAAUGCCUCUAUUUCAGUCACCCGGCCAGCACAGAUAGAAGGGAUUCAGGUUCUGUAAGAGCACUUAGACACCAGGCACAGAGCUGCUAUCAGGGGCAGGAGUGGAAAAUUCCUGUCAUUCUACUGCUUUUGUCUGAGUUGGCUCAUCUCUCUGCCAGAGUGGUUUUAAGCCACUUAUGGCCUUGACCUGAAUUCUCCAAAAUUAACAAACUGCUUGUCUCUCUCCACCAGCUAUAUCGUUUCUUCCCAUCAGGUCUCUCUGCUCAUGCUGCUCCCUCUGACCGGAAUGGCCCUCUCCCACCCUUCACUGGUGCCCAAACUUGUUUUUCAGGACUCAACUCUGUUUCUGUAGGAAACUUUUCUUGAUCCUUUGAUACAGACAGAGUCAGGAGUCUCUCUUCCGUGCUCUUGUUGCAGUAACCUAUACUCAUUAUUGCUCUUACUGCGCUAUAACAUUGUGACUUGCUGUGUCUCUCUCUCCUCCUGUACAAGAAAAUUCUGAAAAGCAGGAACCAUGUCUUGUCCAUUUUUGUAUUCCCAGAACAUGUCAUGCUGUUGGGCAUACAGCAGUUCUUCAACAAAUACUUGCGGACUGUCAACAUCCAUUCUAGAAUGAGUUCAUAACUCUUUCUGCCAAGAAAAUGAUCACUAAUGACCAUAAUUAGUGCACUGAUAUCCGGUGGUACCAGGGUGGGGAGCUGAAAGCAUCUAGGACAAACCUUAUGGAGAAAUUGAAAUGUUCUUUCAUGGGUUUUGAUAUGAGACCUAGAAUCAUUGCUUUUUGAGAACUUGAAUUCCUUCCAGAGGUAAACCGUAAGCUACUGGGUGUUGGAUCACCUACAACUGUUGCUAGGUCUUCUCUCAUGCCAUGGAGUGUGUUUUUGGGAACUGCUCUUGAGCUCCAAUGAGUUGCUACUUUUGGAAAUGAGCAGAAGCAGGCACUUGUUGGCAACCAGCUGGGCAGGGAAGGAAGAAUGUCAUUGGGUCACAUCACACCACCUUUCUGUUCUUUUUCCACCUAUAGCAUCAUUUCCCUAGGUCUCAUUCGAUGCCAUGAAAGAAAGGACUGAACUUUGGGUCAAGAAACUCACUCUGCCCACAUUAGCCUUGUAAUCUUGGGUAGGAUAGUUAACCUCUUUGAGACUCCUUUCUUCAAUACAAUUCUUCUACCUCACCUUGCUGUUGGAAGGAUUAAAUUGUGACAGUAUAUAUCAAAGUGGCAUCUAAGCUUUAAAGUACUACACAGGGAGGCUACUGUUAUUAUUGCUAUUACUGUACUGUUAUUACGGCAGGAUGGUGACCUCAAGUCUUCAGACUAAAAUGAAACUCUUCUGUCAUAUUCUUUUUUGGAGGGUGGUAGUGCUAAGAAAAUACAAAGACCUCUCAAUGACACACAUAGUUGCUGAUCUCAUACAUUCUACACUAGGUCUCUACAGAGUGCUCCAUGGCCCAGGCUUGCUACUUCCUGGAUUUCUUUUGGAUUUCUAUACCAUUUAUUUUUCUGUUGGGACUAGCCAAGAGAUGGCAUGGUUUUAUUUGGGUCAUACUAUCUAUUAAAUGUAGGUCCUUAAUGCUUUAAAUGCCAGGUUUAUAAUCUAGGAACCAUCAAAUGCCCUGUUGAGGAAUUAGGAAAUAUACUGCUUCAGCAUAUUUUUGGAGAAGCGAUGUCCCUAGACAAAGGGAAUUGACAGUUUCCGUGGAUUCAGCAUCUCUCAAAUACCAACACUGUCUUUAUAGAUAAAACUCACACGGAUAUUUAGAGGUAUUCGAAGCAGACAGUUUAAGUUUAGAGUGAGUUUGUAAAAGUGCCCAGAGGACGAAAAAAAAAAAAAAAAGGCUUUGUUUCUCCUCACGUUUUAAGAAAAUAAUCCCCAUUGGCAUAUCCAUGCGUAUUAAUGAAGUACCCUGCCCAGCAUGAGGCCAAAGGGUUUGAGGCCUAUUUUAUGUUUUUAAUAUUAUUAUUAUUACAGAAAUGUUCAUAGCCUUCUAUAAUUGCAUUCCCGAAUUAUAAUCUAUUCUUUUGUGUGGAGAUGGCAAUCUGCUUCAAUUUGUAAACCACACAUAUAAGAAUAGGCCCUUAGCAGGAUGUAAAAGACACUUGAAUAAUUAUAGUUUAAUAGGGCAAUUAUCUCCUACAAUACCACAGGUUGAGCUUGAUGCUGCUUUGAUCACUAAAAUAAGGUCAUUGAAUCUGUUUGGGGAAAAAAAAAAGACCAGGGAGACUUUUCAUUGCUCUUGAAAAGCAUCAGAAAUGUUAGGAGUUACCAAUGUGGUAAAUAUAACAUACAAAGUUUUGAAUUAUAUAGAUUCAUCACUCCUUAUAAAAGCAAUUAACACAGAUCACUUUACAUUUUCCCUAAUUAUAUCAGUUUCUUUAUUAACCACUUUAAAAAAUAGAGCCCUGAUCUGAUGGUUUGAAGUCAUAAGUAUUACACCUGGCUCUAGCAUUAACCAUCUAUAUGAGGUUGGUAUAUUUGGGCCUCAGUUUCUACAUCUGUGAAAAAGAAAAUCAGGUCAGAAUCUUCACAGUUGGACUUGAAUGCUUUCAUCUUUGGCCUUAGUUUUCCUCAAGUUCAGCAUAAGCACCAGAAGUUAUAUACUGUUGAGUGGAAGGUGGGAUUUAUUCCUAGGAGUUUUGAUCCAUUGGAUAGAAAGAUUUUUCAAACCUGCUCCCUCAUACCUUCACUUGCUGAUGCCACAACUCAACAGGCCUGCUGCAAUCGAAAUUUAAGAUUAAAAAUCAUGAACUUUAAAAACAUUUUAGAUCCACUUGGAGGUAUGCUUUAAAUGCUUUUAUAUGACUUUCUGAGGUGGAACCCCUAUUAAACCCUGUUAAUUAGAUACUGAGGGAUGCUUCUGAAUAUUAUUCAUAAAGUUGUCACUGAUAUUUUUUUCACCUUUUGGAGCAUUAUCUUUACUGAUCUUUUUCUUACAGAAUGUACAUGCCCUACAGUUUGAGAUAAAUUGGGUACUUCAUGAUCAUAAGACCAGGCUUUCUAAUUCCCAUUCACUAUGUACUCUUCUAGUCUGUAGAAGCUUUCUUGUUCUAGAAGACACCAACAAAUAAAUAUCAUCUAUGAUAAGGUUAAUAUUUUUGAAAAUAUUUAACUAUUAUAUUUCCUAAAUAACAUUACCCUGCAACUCCCUAGUUUAUUAAGUCAUGGCCAUUCAUUGCUUGAAGAACAAAUUAGAUUUUGCCUAGAGUGGGUUCUCAAAGUGUGUUCUCUGAUCAGCAGCAUCAGCUUCACCUGGAAACCUGUCAGAAAUGCAAAUUCCUCAGGCCUCAUCCCUGUCCUCCUGAAUAGGAAACUCUUCUGAGGGGCCAAGCACUCUAUGUUUUAACAAACUUUCCCUGGCAAUUCUGAUGCACACGAAAGUUUGAGAAUACUGGUCUGGAACAAAGAAAUCACUGUUUAGCUUUGAGUCUCAAAGCUGACUUUCUUGAAUCUCUAGAAGGACAACAGCUUUGAAAACCAGGUUUUAUUGAGUGAGAAAAAGAAUUUCUAAAUAGAAAAGCUUAUCUUUGCAUUAUGAAGUGAAAACUAUGCUACCCUGGAAAAAGAAUUUUACUAAAAGCCAUAGUAUAGAGGACACACAAGAUACAGUGUAGGGAGAGUCCCCUGAGGAUAGGAAGGAGCCGUGGUUAGUACAAAGCCCUUCCAGUCCUGAGGGGGAGAGAGAUAUACAGAGACACAAAUGACCUUGCAUUUCCCCUUCAUGGUGGGAAUACCUGGGGAAAUGGGGAGAAGACACUCAACAGUAUAUAACUUCUGGUGCUUAUGCUUAUACCCCAGUAUAGCAAGUCUUUCUCUUUGAUUCUGAGAGCACAGUCUAGAAAUUGAUAGCCAUGUAAAGAAGUCCCACACUUGGCUUGGAACCAUGUCCAAGCUGGUGCCUGAGCGGUGGAGUGGGAAUGGCUAUGACAUGUGCUAAAGACAGACUCGUAGGCCCUUCACAGUGUGAAGAAAGGAGGCUGACCCUCUGGGGUCCUUGGGUGGGUAGAAAAGAGAACUGGUGAGGCAGAACAAGGCUAGGGCCUGGUCAAGGAAGCGACACACUAGAAGGAUCUCUAGGCUCCUCAGGAGUGAGGGAGCCACCCUGAGUGUCAGCAGGGCCUACCAACUGCACCUUUGGAUGAAGGCUUUGGAACCAAAUAUUUUCUAGAAAGAGACUGCCGUCUCUUAGAAGCUGGUGGGAUGGGCUCUCUAAAGCAAGACAAGUUACAACAAAAAAAAGCAGUGGUAGUUUCCAUCCACUCCAAUCUGUUACUGUUAAAUUGAGAUCUUUCUGAUCAUGCUACUUUGAUCGACAAACGAUUUUGCCCACAGUGCAUGGACAAUAGCAAGACCCAUGGAAAGGGAGAACAACCACUGUCUUGUUGGUGCUCUCUCUAUUUUUAAGAUGUGACUCAGAACCGCUGGGCAUCUUUGUAGCCGUCAUCAUCUCUUUGAGGUCCCUUACAUACUUAAUAAUACAUGGUCAACAUCCAUACUCUUAGAAGACUUGUAGGAAAUACGUGAUCCAUAAGCAUGCCCUCGUGGGUGCUUCCUGAUUCCUACUCCUGUCAUUCUCCAAAUUCCUUCCCUGCUUCUAGUCUAUCUGUCGGUAUUUGACCAAUUUCCAUAAUGGGAAUCACUGACAACAUGCAGGUAAGAAAUGAAAAUGAAAACCUCCUUCUGCACUGUCGAGCUGCCAUCUCAGCCCCCUAGAUCUUUGCUAAAACUCAACGUGCUCCCAGCCAAGCCCACACACUUCUCUGGCAGUGGCAGUGGCAGCUUCGAGACCCACCUGCAGGGCUGCAUGCCCUGCCGGGUUGAUGGGGGUAUAGACAGCACCUUCACAGAAGGCCCAGUGGAGAGCUGCAAAUCUAAAAUUCAUGGGGCUGUGAUGUUACAUUUGGCACAGUACAAAAUUUCUAUCUUAUUAGAAAUGUCACACUGGUAGCUUCCCCAGUAAAAGAAUCCUAAUUAAAAUGGAGAUGGUUUCUUGGCUUUGAAAAGCAGAGAUAACAUACUCAAAUGAAAUAGAAAUGUUCAAUUGUUAGGAGGACUUCUUGUCUUGCUCUCUAUGCCUGAUGCUUCAAAGACAGUGUCAUGGUUAAAACAGAGGAAGGGGGGUGAAGUAUUUUUGCAAAUGCCUACAAUCCUCUCAUGUUUUCAAGGUAUGCCCCUUCUGAACCUGAUUUUUAUGUUAGCCCUAUAGAGAUAUUGCUUUAGGUGGAAAAUUUAUUUGUAUGGCACCUGAAAUAACUUAUAAGACAGAUUAUGCAUUCAUAGAAAUUGAUAUAAAGAGAGGAUGUCCUAAACCAUAUUUAUUUAUUUAUUUGGUUUUUGCUAUUCUUAAAACAAACAAAAAAACCAAAGAGACACUAACAGCUGACAGCAGAAGGGUGACUUUUCAUUUCUACCCCAGGCCUUCAGUCUAGCCCCUAGUGAUGGUGAAUGGACGAUCUAUUUCUGCUGAAUGAAGGAAUGAGGUUGUGGGUGAAUGGAUGAAGGGAGGAGUAAAAUGUACCAAUUAAAAAGUAGAAUGAGAGCGACAAAAAUCUUAUAAAGCAGUGACAAGGUUGGAGAUAAAUAAUACGUCAUAGAACAGCAAAAUCUUAUAGGUGCUCCCUGAUAACCGAAGAAAUACAGAGUAGAGAAUUAAAGAUCAAUUGAUUCUGGUUAGAAAACUUUCUAAUUACUAAUAGGAAAAAUCUUAACAUUUGUUGAUCUCUUCACCAAAUGGUAUUUUUCUUGGUAUAGAAUUAUUCUAAAUAGGGAUCAACGUAAAGUGACAAAAAAUAAUUGCACAUUACAAUUCAUGUGGUAUAUAACUAGAAAAAGUAUAUGAGCAAAGCUCCAGGGAGGAAUCAUAGACAUAUUAUAGUGUAGUGGAAUAUUUAGUUCAUUUAAUUAAGAAUCAGGAAAUCUAGGUUCUAGUCCUGGUUGUGGAACUAUGACUGUGACAUUGUACCAGUCACACGUUCUUCCUAGAGUGUAGGCUUCUCACCUGAAAAAUGAGGGAGCUUACAAACUGUGUUUCUUGAAAGCCUGGGUCUUCUUUGGUACAAAUUUAAGCAGCUCCACUUUUUUUUUUUUUUUAAAGAUUCCAUCUAUUCACUUGACAGACAGAGAUCACAAGCAGGCAGAGAGGC